GAGGACAAGCGGCACCUCUCGGAUCUUUUUUUUUUUCCUCUCCCCCCCCCCUCCUUUCCUUUUACCUUCAUUUUCCUCCUGCAGGCGAGCGUGCGUAUAUGUGUGUGUGUUUGGAUGAAUGGGUGAUGGAGAAAGCGAGAGAGAGAGAGAAAAGAGAGAGACUUAGAGAGGGGGGCGUUUCCCCUUCAGUGUGAUUUCCACAUAUUGGCAAAAUCCACUAUGUCGUCGACUUGAGCGAGCGGGGGAGAAGUGAACAGACUUGCAACAAUGGAGACCUGGUCAGUUUCCGCAGCUUCUGAAAUCCCCACCCUUCCCUCCAGCUCUCUCCUGCUAUAUGGCGUCAGACUCACAAGUGGGGGGAUGGGAGCGAGCGAGCGCUGUAGAGGGGAGAGAGGUGGUUUGACCGUUUGCUCCCGUCUCGACCACGGGUAUUCUUGGGUUGAUAAUACAGAUGUCGAUGUUAUUGCUUGAGAAUACGCGUAGCUGAGCGGAAGCCGUUGUCAUCGGCCUCACGUUAUUCCUUCAGCGGCGUGAUCAUCGACGUUCUCCUCCCAUGGUCUUGAUGCGAGAAGCUUCUUCACUCUCGUUCUCCUAAAGUCCUACUCGUGGUCCCCGGGCUCGCAACACUCCUCCGCCCAGCAUCCUCCCGGCCCUCUGCAGGAAGUAAGAACCUUCCAAGCGUGCAUCACACACCUUUUCAGCUUGGCUUGUUCAUCCGCUUGACAGAUGCCCUUAUCAGAGUGCAUGGCGAAGAGGGGAAUCCAAUAAGUGCACAUGGUGGAGGGAGGGAGGGGGGGGGGGGCAUUGAGGAAUCGGUGCAGGGCAACCGAGGCAGGGAGUCUGGGCCCCUGAUGGCAGCGAGACACAACUAUGCUCGACAGGACAGCAGGUCCGGCAGUUGCACUUGCUGCUGUGUAUAAGGUCACAGUCAAAGAGCAAAUGCAAUAUCUAGACAGGCUGGCUGGCUGGCGGGCAGACGGGCGGGCGGGCAAACAGGCUGGCGGGCAGGUGGGGGCACGAGCAAAACACAUUUAGAAAGUCAGAAAUAAAUCUUAGUCUACUUUAAGAUGCGCUGCGAGGAGGAGACUAAUAGGACAAACUGACAAAUGAGCCUGUUGGGAUCAAAUCAUAUUUUCUUGUCAAAUCUCUUUUUUCCAGAUGCACACAUGAAACUGUUGCCUAUUUGUCAUGAUUCAGCGGCUUGACACGGCUGCUCCACUUCAUUGACUUGUAAGGCAUUGGAUCAUAUUAGUGUUAUUGUAAUGGGGUGUAAUAAGAUUAUUCAAAUCCCUCUAUUUCACAGUGGGGCCAAUGUGAUAGUGGGGCACAUCCAUGUAAAAGGCCCUUUGACAGCAGCUGUGUCUGUGUGCUAAAGCCUGAAAAAUCCCAGCCAAGAGGAUUCUCCACGCCACUCCCCAGAGACUCCACUUACACCAGCGCCACUGUGCGCGCGUGUGUGUGUGUGUGUGUUAGCGAGAUGUGCGUGCGCGUGUAGGCAAUAUUUCUACCUCCCCAUCCGCACAGCAAUUAAAGAUCUAAUUGAUUUCCCUGCAUACACUGAUCACUUGCCUCACCGGUUUGAUUUUUUUUUUUACUCGCAAAUUGGAUGCUGAAGUCAUUCGUGAUGAUCACAGAGCUCCAAGACAAUUACAUGAGCGCCUCUUAUUCUUUUGUCUGUUUAUAUAAAUUCCCCACAUCACAAUAAUAAUAAUACAAUACAAUAAUACAUACAUUAUAAAGUAGCCUUUGUCUUGAUUUUGCAGACAGAUUUAAAGAAAAUAGAAAUAAAGCUGAAAGAAAUCAAUGUAUCAUGUUUAAAACUGCUCAUUGUUUGUGAUAGAAAUAUUUGACUUAUUUAUGUAAAUAAAAUAAGCAAAAUGUUAACCUUCAGUGUAAAUUAAUACAAGAAAAUUAAUUCAUAAUUAUUGUCUUUACAAAAAUGUUUUAUAUGCAUUUAAAAAGAACAUUUAGGCAACUGCGGCAAUUCAUUAUUUUGUGUGACCAAUGUUAAAACUCAACUUGGGCUAUUAGCAUAAAUAUAAUCAUUUGUGUUAAUUCAGCAUCUAUUAUGAGGUAUUACAUUUAAGAAGAACAUCAUCCUCGGCCAUUUAAUGACUAAUUGGGUUGGGAGUCAUUAAUUUUGCAGUUAGACAAAAUGUCAGGUUCAAAUAAAAUAAUUAUUAGACUGGCUAAUGGGAGAACGUCUACUAAUGUCUGUUGAAACAUUCAUAAAGUGACUCCUUAUCGGUGAACCAAUCAUCCUCUCCGACCUCUUGAAAUAAUACACAACAACAACACUUAACGAUUCACUCAUUCAAUCAAUGCUAAUUCAUUUAUACAUCUUAUGCACGUUUCCGCUGAUCAGUCCCCCCCCCCCACCCAAUUUUAUAUUGUUCAUUUCUGCAGUACUGCACCAUAUAAUCAUGCUGGCUGCCUACAUAGCCAACUCUUCAUUCACCUAUAAUUCAUCACUGUUUGCUUGGCAUAGGGUGGACAAAUGAGCAUAAUUAAUCUUAUUCCUCACGCUUGCAGAGCAAACAAGAAUGCAACCAAAAAAACAUGGCAACAAAUUGAAUAUGCCUCCGAUGAGAGCAAGAUACCCAAAGCAACCUCGGUCAGAGUAGCCGCUCUAAUGGGCCUAGCGCAAAAAAAGCAAACUGAGACAAUAGAGUUGGAAUAAAUAAGUACGUCGAGGUGUAAGGCGUGAUUUCCACUUUGAUGGGUCACUCCAUUACAAUUACUCUGAAAUAUUUAUCCAAGCAAAUAAAGGGCUGUAGGGAUUUGACAAAGGGAGAAAAGAUACCGCAGGUAUAGGUUGACAGAGAUGGGUGAGGGAGAGGGGAGGGGGGGGGGGAGAAAAUCACAGUGCAAUAAGUGCCCUCUCAUUAGGGCCUGUCUUUAUCACUGUGCAGCUCCUCUGAGACUAGGCAGAUGAGAGGGGCCAACAGAAGGCCAGAAGAAGAGAGCCGACUUCAGAUUAGAAUCCUUAUUGCUAUGAUAAUGACUGUUUGUCAUCCUCUACUCACGUUUCACACCUGUGGUACAUGCAGAUGAGUUGCUUCGUUCACGUUGGGGGUUUGGAGCUGUGUGUGUGCGUGUGGUCGAGCCAUAUGCAUAUGCGCGUGUUUCUAAAUGAAGAAAAAGAUAAAGUUCAUGGUCGUGUGCAUAAAGAAAAGCUUGAGCGGGUGUGUGUGUGUGUGUGUGUCUGGCAUUCACCCUUGGAGUGCGUACGCAUUUAGAAUGAACAAAUAGAUAAAGAUAGAAUUAAAUAAAUAUGUAACAAUCACAUGCAUUGCUCUCGGUGCCUGGCAACCGGAGCCCUCCGUUGCCUUGGAAACAGUUGCUACAGAAUGUGAGGUGAUUGGCAACCGUGACAACGAGGAGGGAAUAACAUUUGACCCCUCUUGCUGAUGGGGGGGGUAGAGCAGGCGAGUUGGUGAGGGGGGGAGGAGGUGAUGCGUGAAGUGCGGGGUGGAGGAGUGGGGGGGAGGAGAAAGAAGAUGGUAUCACAAGGAGCAUGUUUAGAAAUUCAUCCUCUAAAGCUGCUUCGCUCUCACUUCCUUAACACACACACGACCCCCCCCCACCUUACACACACACUCAAAUAUCUCGGAUAAUCUUAUUUAGGAGGAUAAAGGUGCGUUUGUAAAUUCUAAC